rnacentral:rRNA from 1 species
UAGGGAAUCUUCGGCAAUGGGGGCAACCCUGACCGAGCAACGCCGCGUGAGUGAAGAAGGUUUUCGGAUCGUAAAGCUCUGUUGUAAGAGAAGAACGAGUGUGAGAGUGGAAAGUUCACACUGUGACGGUAACUUACCAGAAAGGGACGGCUAACUACGUGCCAGCAGCCGCGGUAAUACGUAGGUCCCGAGCGUUAUCCGGAUUUAUUGGGCGUAAAGCGAGCGCAGGCGGUUAGAUAAGUCUGAAGUUAAAGGCUGUGGCUCAACCAUAGUUCGCUUUGGAAACUGUCAAACUUGAGUGCAGAAGGGGAGAGUGGAAUUCCAUGUGUAGCGGUGAAAUGCGUAGAUAUAUGGAGGAACACCGGUGGCGAAAGCGGCUCUCUGGUCUGUAACUGACGCUGAGGCUCGAAAGCGUGGGGAGCGAACAGGAUUAGAUACCCUGGUAGUCCACGCCGUAAACGAUGAGUGCUAGGUGUUAGACCCUUUCCGGGGUUUAGUGCCGCAGCUAACGCAUUAAGCACUCCGCCUGGGGAGUACGACCGCAAGGUUG